rnacentral:misc_RNA from 1 species
AAGGGGGGUAUGAUGUGCAACAUCAUAGUGCAUACCUAAACUGCUUCCAUGAACACCAAGCACAAGAUCAAGGCAUCAUGAAGACACAUGGGAAUGCAAGAUAAACAAGGAUUUGGGAUGGAUUUAUGAUGAAUAGCUAAGCCUAUUUAGAGUUGGGAAAACAAGGCCCAACAAAAGUCCAAAUUGGAGGCAAGUAUUGGGCUUGAAAAAUGGGCCUAGAAGACACAAAACUAAGCCCAAUAGGGCAUAAGUGACAUGUGCAAAGAGCCCUAAGAAAGAUAGGAUUUAUAUCCUUUAAUGAAGAAAAUUCCAUCCAAAAGAAGUGAUGAUUAUCCUUUCCUAUAAAUUAGGCCUUAUUUUUGGGAUUAUCUAAGAUUUAGGCUUAAAGUAAGGAGACACUCAUCUUAUCCAUCUAAGGCCUAUCCAUUCAAAUGAAAAUCCUAAUCUUAGAAAAGAAGUCCAAGAUAUUUACUCCCUCUAAAAGUGAAGUUUUGCAUUUGAUUGGUUGGAGUGUUGAAUUUCUUUUUAGUUUCCUACUUGUUUUUAGUUUUCUACUAGUUCUUUGUUUACUCUAUUAUAAGUUUGUGUAACACUUUUUUUAUUUUCCUAGUUAGAUUAUGCUUUUAGUUUGAGUGCCUAUAUAAAGGCCUCCCUUACGUAAUUUUCAAAGUUUCUAUUAUUUUCAUUAAUGAAGUUUUUUUUUUUUUUUCUCUGAUCA